CAUAGCGACCAUCGUGGCAUAUCAAUAAGCGGAGGAAAAGAAACUAACAAGGAUUCCCUUAGUAACGGCGAGUGAAGCGGGAAGAGCUCAAAUUUGAAAUCUUCAAGGUUUUACCUUGACGAAUUGUAGUUUAUAGAAGUGUUUUCUGUUAGUGGAGUUUGGUAAAAGUUCUUUGGAAUAGGACAUCAUAGAGGGUGAGAAUCCCGUAUUUGAGCUCAUUAUUUCCAGCUGUGUGAUACACUUUCAAAGAGUCGGAUUGUUUGGGAAUGCAGUCCAAAAUGGGUGGUAAAUUUCAUCUAAAGCUAAAUAUUGGCGAGAGACCGAUAGCGAACAAGUACCGUGAGGGAAAGAUGAAAAGAACUUUGAAAAGAGAGUUAAACAGUACGUGAAAUUGUCAAAAGGGAAGCGUUUGACACCAGUGUUGUUUUUCCGAAAAUCAAUUACGAAUGUUUUAUUUUUGAGGAGUUAUGACUUCAUCGGCUUGCUUCCUUUCUUUAUCGAAACUUUCUUAAUGCACUUUUCGGUUAACAAGUCAACAUCAACUUCCUUUUGUUGUAAAAGGGUAUGGGGAAGGUGGCUUUCUUUUCGGAGAAAGUGUUUAUAGCCUUGUGCCUCUGCAAUCGGAGAGAUUGAGGUCUGCAGCGUAGAUCCUUCGGGGUUAGAUACAGUUGUGCUAAGCUAUAGCCUUGUAUAGACAACUUGUUGACUAUGCUCAGUCAUGUAGCUUACUCGCUUAUGCUAUUUUACCUACGCUUAGGAUGUUGAUAUGCAUGACUGAUAU
rnacentral:rRNA from 1 species